CUUUCUGGGUCACUAUAUACAUUAUAUUACAUGUUUCUUAGAUUCGUAUUAAUCUUCCCACUCUUACCGAUAAGGAUAAGGAGGUAAUUAGCACAUGGGGUGUUAGAAACAAUAUCGAUUUCCUUUUACUGUAUGCUCGGCAUGUAGAAGAUGCUCGCCAUGUAAGUGCUACUCCUCAUAGCUUAUAUAUUAUUCUCUUCUAAAUUCUUCUGAUGUUGCCUAGUUUUUAUUAUAAACUUCUGAAAUA